CGGCUCCAAUUAUUCUGCCACCGAAUACAUUAGCAUGGGAUAAUGGAAUAGGACCCUGUCCUCCUAUUUUCAGUUGGUUUUGGCAGCGCGAGGACUAGGGUAAUGAUUAAUAGGGAUAGUUGGGGGCAUUAAUAUUUAAUUGUCAGAGGUGAAAUUCUUGGAUUUAUGAAAGAUUAACUUCUGCGAAAGCAUCUGCCAAGGAUGUUUUCAUUAAUCAAGAACGAAAGUUAGGGGAUCGAAGACGAUCAGAUACCGUCGUAGUCUUAACCAUAAACGAUGCCGACCAGCGAUUAGGAGACGUUGAAUACAAAACACCACCAUCGGUGCGGUCGUCCUUGGCGUUGGUCUUCAAAAGCCAGCGCGGGGGUGGCUUAGCCCGGUGGCACCGGUGAAUGACUCUCUAGCAGCUUGUGAGAAACA
rnacentral:rRNA from 1 species